UACGGAGGGUGCAAACGUUGCUCGGAAUCACUGGGCGUAAAGCGCACGUAGGCGGCUCGAAAAGUCGGAUGUGAAAGCCCUGGGCUCAACCUAGGAAGUGCAUUCGAAACUGCCGAGCUUGAGUACGGGAGAGGGUUGCGGAAUUCCCGGUGUAGAGGUGAAAUUCGUAGAUAUCGGGAGGAACACCAGUGGCGAAGGCGGCAGCCUGGACCGAUACUGACGCUGAGGUGCGAAAGCCAGGGGAGCGAACGGG
rnacentral:rRNA from 1 species